rnacentral:lncRNA from 1 species
GAACCGACUCUGAUGUCAUGUUGAUUCAAAGCAUCGAACUAAUAGAAAGCGAUCAAUGAUUUGCUUCAGCAUAGACCGUAAUUCAAUUAAUUGGAUUCACAUGCUUUGAUAUCGUCAUGUGUCAUACAAAUCAUAUUGAAGGUCUCAUUUACCUAACUUUUGGUAUUGCCAAUCUAAUCUCAAGUAAUAUUUGAAUUGGGAUCACCUGACCCUGUGUGAAAGGUACCGACUAACUGGCCUAAGCAGUGGCGGCAACAUGGAGUUGAUGUUGAAAGCGCAACGUAGAAUUACAUCUCUCGCAGCUAGACAUACAAGCAUGUUUAGAUCUUAGAAUGUAUGUAUAAA